UACGUAGGGUGCAAGCGUUAAUCGGAAUUACUGGGACGUAAAGCGUGCGCAGGCGGUUAUGUAAGACAGAACGUGAAAUCCCUCGGCGUCAACCGGGGAACUGCGUCUGAUACGUGGAGGGCUUGAGUUUGGGAGAGGGAUGCGGAAUUCCAGGUGUAGCGGUGAAAUGCGUAGAUAUCUGGAGGAACACCGGUGGCGAAGGCGGCAUCCUGGACCAAUAUUGACGCUGAGGAGCGAAAGCCAGGGGAGCAAACGGG
rnacentral:rRNA from 1 species